AAUGUUUCUGGAGUGAUUGCUCAGAAUCUUUUCCGAGUGCCAUGAUUAUCACCAUUUAUGAAUAGGAAGAUCUGAUGC